CCAGCAUUGUGGAGAUAAACUAAGCUAACAGAAGACCCACCUAAUCUGUGGCCGUAACUGUUAGCGGCUAAACGGGGCUAAACGUUAACAAUUUCUUUUAUUCGCUUUCCCCCGGAAAACUUCGUGCUGAGUUCCAGCUCAUUGAGACGAAUCCAGCGAGGAGUUUUUCAUCACUGAAGCAGAAGCAUGAGUUCCUCAAGAAAGGAACAUUUAGAAGAAGAGGAAUCCAGACAUAACCGGUGUGAGCACGACAACACAUCACAUUCAGAGAUGGAAAACAAGCAUCACACUGGGGAGAAACCAUGCCGCUAUGAUCAGUCUGAAGCAGCAGUCAAUACACCACAACUGCAGAACCACCAGAGGCAUUGCACUGGACGGAAACUGUUGAGCUGUGAUGUGUGCGGAGCAUCUUUCACAAGCUCUGCUCAUCUGAAGCGGCACAAAUUAAGCCAUGAUAAUAACAAAGCAUACAGUUGUGAUGAGUGUGGGUCAUGUUACAGAACACAAGAGUACUUGAAGCAACACAAACGUAUUCAUACUGGUGAAAAACCAUUCGAAUGUGAUCUGUGUGGGGCAAGUUUCUUCACAUCUGGCCAUCUACAAAUCCACAGACGAAGCCAUACAGGAGAGAAACCAUACAAAUGUGACCGCUGUGAUCGAAGCUUCAGACAGCACAGUGACUUACAAAAACACAUACGCAUUCACACUGGAGAAAAACGGUACUGGUGUGAGGUUUGUGGUAGAAGGUUUGCACGUGGGUGCACGCUCCGAAAUCAUCAGAGGAUUCACACAGGAGAAAAACCUUACACCUGUAACGAAUGCGGGAAAAGUUUUGCCCGGAAAUACACCCUGGAUGUUCACCAUCGACAACAUACUGGAGAAAAGUUAUACUGGUGUGAGCAGUGUGGAAAAACCUUUUAUUCCUCCUGUGGUUUGAGAAAUCAUCUAAAAACUCAUAGUAGCAAAUAGAGCUACUCGGUUAAGGCAGAAAUAAUAAUCUCGAUUAUUUUGACUGAAAUAAUCUUGAGAUCUCGAUUAUUUAACACAGUUAUUCAUUAUUCACUUUAAUAAUGUGAAUUUUUAUCCAUCCAUCCAUGCAUACAUCCAUACAUUCAUACAUUCAUUUGAAGUGUUUGGUAAUACAGACUAGUGCCGUCAUAUACGGCUCUAUGGUGCGGCUUGACCACAGAUCCGUAGUGAUACCGUUUGUGCAAAGUGUUGAUGAAUUUUUCAAAUCCUGGGUUUUCACUGUGUUAAUUGAGCAGUGGUCUUUGGCUAGAAAAAAAAGUUAUGUUUGUGGGAGGAGUCUGCAGCAGAGCGCUGCAAUGCCAGUGGUGCUUGACUUGCAACUGAAAACAGCGCAAGAGUAAAUUGCAAAGGAGCAAAAAAUCCGAUCUUUUAAUUUUUAUGAUCGUAACUGAGAUUAAAAUUUGAUUAUUCACCCAGCCCUAGUAGCAGAGAAGAAAUUGCAAAGGUCUGAUUACAUUGACACCAAAACUAAACUUGAUGGACACCCUCCCCUAAUCGUCAGCUGGACGUUGGGACUAAUUAUUUUCUGUGAGCUCACUUUAGAUUUCAGUGGGUUUAUUGUUCAGAUUUUUUAUGUUUUGUAUCAUAAAAAUAUGGAAGCCUGUUUCCGCCACUUAUAAUUAUAAGAUUCAAAGUCAUUAUUAUGAUAUUCAGAGUAAGGAAUUUGAUCAAAUGUCAUAUUUACAAGAUUGAAUGUCAUAAUUAUGAGAUAAAUCUUUGAGAUACAACAGAUAAAUGACUCUUCUUUAUCCCAUCAUGACUUUAUAUCUCAUAAUUAUUACUUUAUUUCCUUACUUUUUUUUACCUCAGUGACUUUAUCUUAUUACUUUUACUCAUUAUCAUGACGUUUUAUCUAUAUCUUUUAAUUACUUUUUAUAAUAAUUAUGCCUUCAAAAUUAUGGGUCUCAUAAUUAUGACUUUAUCUCAUAAUGACUUUAAAUCUUGUAAUUAUGGCUUUCUAUCAUAAUUGUGACUUUGAAUCUCAUAAUAAUGUCUUGUACUUUAAAUGUGGUAUAUAAAUAAACUUUCUUUUCAUUCGUAGACGGACUAGAUUUCAUAUCUUUUAAGUUUCUUUGCCCCCCAUCCCCCCAAACAAACUGGACUUUUCGAUCAAACCAACUAGGAUUUGAAUGAGUAGAGCUGAAGUGAAUGCAACCUGAAUGUGACCUGUGUAUGUACGGUCUUAGAAGAGUUCAAAAGUUUGAAACUAUCAAUUGGAAAUUGGAAUUUUGUUUGAACAUGAUUUUUUCUGCAUUGCAUUGUCUGGAUUAUAUGACAUCAUUUUGAUGAACUGACUGUGUUGAGGAAUGGUAAUGUUUUGAUCCUAGAGUCAAGUGAUGAAGCAGCCAAACAAGUUAAUGUCGUUUACCUUCUUGCUACGUUGCUACUUAUUAACAGGACAGUUGUGUUUAGUUUUAGUCUUCCUGAACAAAAAAAACUUGUAAUCUGAGGAAUAAUGCCAUCAAAUUAAUUUUAAAAGCUAUGUUCACAAAAAGAUAUGUGUAAUAAACUCUUUUUAUAUAUAUAUCUAUGUACUUACCUUUUGGAUAAUUUGGAGUGUAUCGUUCUGCUAAUUACUGUGUUGUGCAUUCUGAAAUUUCAAUAAAAUGUGCAAAACAUUUUAAUUUCAGUUGUGUAACAGAUGCAUGUUCAGUGUGACGUGUAAAUUGACAAGGGAUGUUCCGAUAUAUUUUUUUCUGUCCGAAACCUACUCCAUUAAUAAAUGGGGUUUAGGUAUCUGCUGACAGAGAGUACUGAUCCGAUACCUCUGUUAAUUUUAUUAAGAGGUAUAUUAAAUUUAUAAUUUAAAUAACAUUUAUUACAGACUUUGAUGUAUGAUUUUACUGUCAUUCAUUGACCUAGCCUAAGUUAAUCUACAAAACAUGAAUUAACAAAUGAAAACAAUGAUUGCCACCGGUCACCCAGGAAAAUAAAUUCAGAAACUUUCCCAUUCAUCCGAGUCUGAUCCCAGUUUUUCCUUGCAUGUGUUAGGCCGCAU